rnacentral:sRNA from 1 species
GGAUGUGAGGGCGAUCUGGCUGCGACAUCUGUCACCCCACUGAUCGCCAGGGUUGAUUCGGCUGAUCUGGCUGGCUAGGCGGGUGUCCCCUUCCUCCCUCACCGCUCCAUGUGCGUCCUCCCGAAGCUGCGCUCGGUUGAAGAGGACGCCAUCCCCGAUAGAGGAGGACCGUUCUUCGGUCAAGGGUAUACGAGUAGCUGCGCUCCCCUGCUAGAACCUCCAAACAAGCUCUCAAGAAUCUCUUGGCCAGAUCACUCCUCUCCACGUGGUCACUUUGG